GAUGAACGCUGGCGGCGUGCCUAAUACAUGCAAGUCGAGCGUACAGACGAGGAGCUUGCUCCUCUGACGUUAGCGGCGGACGGGUGAGUAACACGUGGAUAACCUACCUAUAAAACUGGGAUAACUUCGGGAAACCGGAGCUAAUACCGGAUAAUAUAUUGAACCGCAUGGUUCAAUAGUGAAAGACGGUUUUGCUGUCACUUAUAGAUGGAUCCGCGCCGCAUUAGCUAGUUGGUAAGGUAACGGCUUACCAAGGCAACGAUGCGUAGCCGACCUGAGAGGGUGAUCGGCCACACUGGAACUGAGACACGGUCCAGACUCCUACGGGAGGCAGCAGUAGGGAAUCUUCCGCAAUGGGCGAAAGCCUGACGGAGCAACGCCGCGUGAGUGAUGAAGGUCUUCGGAUCGUAAAACUCUGUUAUUAGGGAAGAACAAAUGUGUAAGUAACUAUGCACGUCUUGACGGUACCUAAUCAGAAAGCCACGGCUAACUACGUG
rnacentral:rRNA from 1 species